rnacentral:rRNA from 1 species
GUGCCAGCCGCCGCGGUAAUACGGAGGGUGCAAGCGCUACUCGGAAUCACUGGGCGUAAAGCGCGCGCAGGCGGCCUUUUAAGUUGGAUGUGAAAGCCUAUGGCUCAACCAUAGAACUGCAUCCAAAACUAUUAGGCUAGAGUGUGGGAGAGGAAGAUGGAAUUAGUUGUGUAGGGGUAAAAUCCGUAGAGAUAACUAGGAAUACCAAAAGCGAAGGCAAUCUUCUGGAACAUUACUGACGCUGAGGCGCGAAAGCGUGGGGAGCAAACAGGAUUAGAUACCCUGGUAGUCCACGCCCUAAACGAUGAAUGUUAGUCGUCGGGUAGCUAGUCUAUUCGGUGAUGCAGCUAACGCAUUAAACAUUCCGCCUGGGGAGUACGGUCGCAAGAUUAAAACUCAAAGGAAUAGACGGGGACCCGCACAAGUGGUGGAGCAUGUGGUUUAAUUC